rnacentral:rRNA from 1 species
UGGGGAAUUUUCCGCAAUGGGCGAAAGCCUGACGGAGCAAUGCCGCGUGGAGGUGGAAGGCCUACGGGUCGUCAACUUCUUUUCUCGGAGAAGAAACAAUGACGGUAUCUGAGGAAUAAGCAUCGACUAACUCUGCGCCAG